rnacentral:rRNA from 1 species
GACGAACGCUGGCGGCGUGCUUAACACAUGCAAGUCGAACGGAAAGGCCCUGCUUUUGUGGGGUGCUCGAGUGGCGAACGGGUGAGUAACACGUGAGUAACCUGCCCUUGACUUUGGGAUAACUUCAGGAAACUGGGGCUAAUACCGGAUAGGAGCUCCUGCUGCAUGGUGGGGGUUGGAAAGUUUCGGCGGUUGGGGAUGGACUCGCGGCUUAUCAGCUUGUUGGUGGGGUAGUGGCUUACCAAGGCUUUGACGGGUAGCCGGCCUGAGAGGGUGACCGGCCACAUGGGGACUGAGAUACGGCCCAGACUCCUACGGGAGGCAGCAGUGGGGAAUAUUGCACAAUGGGCGGAAGCCUGAUGCAGCAACGCCGCGUGCGGGAUGACGGCCUUCGGGUUGUAAACCGCUUUCGCCUGUGGCGAAGCGUGAGUGACGGUAAUGGGUAAAGAAGCACCGGCUAACUACGUG